rnacentral:lncRNA from 1 species
ACUUUACAUAUUAGGAUUAUACAAUUAACUAUCUUUUGAUUCACUAAAAACACCCAAGAAAGCUAUAAUAUCUUCUACAUUCUAUCAAUUCUUCUUCUAACAAAUAAAUAACUACAAUUGAUAAUUUUUUCUCAUGCAUUCACUAUCUCUUCUCUUCUCCAAACUUAUGACAACAAUAUGUAAUAUUGCACUAUCUUAAAAGACUACAUAAAGUAUUCUAUAAUAUAAUUACUAGAAUUUUUCAAAAUUAACUGUCAUUCCAAGUAAUCUACUGUACACAAUUCCAGACUCCACAGACUUCUUUUUAUAGAACACAUUCAACUCUUGAUUAACAAUAUAUUAUAAUUCUCCCAGUCAUAUCCAUACUUCACAAACAUCUUCAAUUAUCGACUUUCCAAUUUUCUACUUAUAAUUCAAUACACAAUAAAUUUAAUUUUUUAUUUGACAUCAUAUAAAUCAAAUCUUUCUUUCAUUACAAAAUUUUACUUCAUAUUAUUUAAAAUCUACCCAUUUCUUUUCUUUUAUUAAAAUAAAAAUAAAAAACAAGAAGUAGUACCAAGCUUACUCUAGCUCAUGACUAUCACAGUGUAGCCUUGUCUACUUCUUCUUCAACCAAUUUAUACUUAUCUCAAAACACAGAUUUUAAUCAAUAUUUCUUGCUUAACUAUUUUUCUUGACUAAAUCAUCCAUCCUACCUCUUGAAUUAACUGUCUUAUGGAUGAUUAAUCUAUUGUAUCAAUAUCUAAUCAAUAUCCUAUAAAAACCAAUUUCUACCUAUUCUACAUAGCUCAACUCUUAAUUGUGCAGUAUCCUCACAAACAUGGAAUUGAUAAAAAAAAACUUCUUCAACAAAAUCCUUACAAAGUAUCUAUUCCUUUGGCUAGCUAGAUUGAUCAAUCCCAACAUUCUUUAUAGUUGAUUCCACUGAUUUUGGUUCUAAUGAUAAAUCUUCAUCCUCCUCCAAUACUUCCAUUACUUCUUUUUUUAAUUGGACUAAUAAGUCUUCAUUAUAAAUUCUCAAUUUAUGAACUUGAACCUCCAAUUGCAGAAUUCUGACAUCUUUUACUUUCAAAUGGUACUGCUGUUGCUUCAUCUUCUAUUCUAAUUCAUCAAUUAUUGAAACUAUUGGGGCAGACAUUUGUGAUUGACCAAUACUGGCUAAAUCACCCUCCAAUUUUGUCACUAUAGCUUUCAAGGUUUUAAUUUUUACCUAUAAUUUUUUCAUUUCAAUUCUAUAUUUGUCACUUAAUUUCUUUUUUUUUCCUAUUUCAAUAACUUUGUCUUUUCUCAUUAUACUUUCAACUGACACUUUACCUCC